UACCCUAGUUUAACAUACGUCACCAAGGA
rnacentral:sRNA from 1 species